GUCCACACGAAUGGGUAGGCUUUCAUGCUUGAAAAGGCCUUUUUUUAUGUUUUUGAACUCUGCUUCAACAGCUGCGGAACCUGCAGUGAUGCUGGUGCUUUUGAAGAGAGGGACCAUUAUUGCUGUCCAGAGUGGCAAGCAGUCCCAUCGGCAGAUCAUCUUAAUACAGUGUGCUACAUCUACCCUGACAAAACAUGGGGGUAGAUGUCCAGGUUGAUUCCCACGUGAAAUGUUAAAGCACUCAUUGAUGUAGCUCUUCAGAUCAGGAUGAGGGGUAAAAGCUUUGACUAGAGCUCCAAGAAUCGCCAGAGAAAAGUCACUCACUGCUUCUUUAGGAACAGAUGCACCUGCAUGGAUCCAUUCCUUCAGCCACUGUGUGAUAGCAUUAACAUCAUGCUUGUCUGACAGCAUCUGCACGACUGGGACACUGGAGCUGGUAUGCCCUGUCAUAACACCCUGAUACAGGAAGCUAUGGCCAGACAUGCCAUUCGGCCUCAUCAGUUUUUUAACUAUUGAGCCAGUUGCAUCAACACAUAACAUUGGGUGAGAUUUCUUUAAGCUCUUGUACACAUGCAUUUGUGUUUGACUCCAAUAGUGACAGAAAAACUUUUCAAGUCCAAUGUCUUUGAUGCUGUCACUGUGAGGUGCGCUGUAUUUCAACAUCUGCAAUGAUAAAAUUAGAUUUUUGUCACCUAAUGCCAAAUCAUUUUUCUCUUGCUUUGCCUUGCGCAGGGUGGCCAAAUUUGGCAGGUGGCUUGGCUCAGGGGCUCCGAAGUCCAUCAAUUUGUUUGCCUGUGAUGCUCGCCAUACAUGUGGUUUCAUCCUGCCCUCACAAAGUUCCUUGGCUACCUGCACACGCAACUGUCCAGAUAGAAACCGCUUUGAGCUACCAGUGUGUAGGGAGUCAUCACUGUUCUUAAUGAAACAGUUCAAUAUUAUUGGACUGUUAAUUUCUGGCUCUCCGCUACAAUUAAUGUUGAGAAGGCCAUGACACUCCUUGCAGUAUCCUCUGAUUUCGAUAUAAUUAUUUGAGACCAAUGGAUAGACCUUGGCUCUUUUAAAAACAAAUGUGCAAGGAAUUUUGACUGUUUUCCAGAUUUUUUCAUUUAUGAUGUGGAUCCAGGUGCCAGGCUUCAAAAUUGUAUAUUCUCUUUUUUGGGUUCGACAGUUCUUAUCUUUGUAUUCUGCCUUUUCCGGAAUAAAUUCCAUCCACUUGUCAAAAGGAAUAUGAAGCUGAAAUGACCGUUCAGGUCCUGAUUCCGAGCUUGCUUCACUGCUAGUUUCAGGAUCAGUUUCAUCAUGACUGAAUCCCAGAGCUGACCAGAUAUUGCGUCUGCUUGUUUUUACAAAGGUGUACAGAGCCUUUGCAGACAUCUUCUUUUCCAACUGGUCACUCAGAUCUGUCCACACAGUAGCGCUUGAAGUGGCUACGUUACCAUUUUCAAGUAUGGCCUCUUUUGAUGAGCAGAGAACUGCAACAAUUAAAUCAUUGUCUACUGCUGGUUGUUUGGGCAUCUAGUUGAAGGACAAAUAAAUAUAAUCAGGAUUCAUUGCUUGAAUAAUUAAAAUUACACAUGCGUGAUCAUUAUAAUUGCUAUGCACGGACGGAAAAAUGAUGCAAAGGGAAAAAUAUUUUGACAUCAAAAUGUAUCAAGCAUGUUUUCUUUAGAAAUUUAGUUUUCUUGGUCAGUGCAAAUUACACACGUAUAAUAAGACAAUGUUAGCCAACUAGCUAUUCAGACUACCUAGGGUGUUUUUAAUUCUAUAUUGUAGGAACUGGUUGUUUUUUUUUACACAUUUUACUUACAUUGGUCGAUGGUCGCUUUCUGUCACUCACUGUUAUUAAAUCUUCGGAGAUAGUUGUGCAUUUGUCGCUUGAAAAAGUUGCACGUCUUUGUUUUUCGCCACCCUGUUGCAAUAUGUCUUACCAGCCUGCAGAGGUCACUUUGCAUGGUAAUUAGUUGGAUAAUACAUGUGUAAGAAUUGAGGAGUUAUCAUGAUGUCAAGUGAAAAAGAAU